CGGGGGGCGGCAAGAAGCCAUUUAGCACCCAGGGAAAGGGGAGACGUCCCCAUUGACCCACACUCCAGGACCACUGACGGCAGCCCUCAGGGGGUGUCCAACACCGGAAAACAGCCGCGCUCCAGCAGAUGAGGAAAUAGAGGCCUGAGGCACUGAAAGACCUGAGGUCACACAGCUGGGACCUUGGGAGGCUUGGUGCUUCGUAUCCGACCCUUAUGCAGGUAUGGCUGGUGAGGAGGGACAAUCCUGAGAAGACUCGUUUGGGAUAGGGGUGAAAUACCGCCUCACCCCAAAAGAGACAGAAGUGUAAGAAGCCGUGGAGAUCUCUGGAUCCACUCCGCAGUUGGGGAAACUGAGUCCCAGAAGAGGGGCAGGGACUCACAAGACUGUGGGGGUGGCGGCAAACUUCUUUUCCGAAAGGGGGACUUGACCAGCCUUCCUCCGACCCUCAUCUUGUUCACACUUGAAGCUGUGCUCCCUCCCACCCACUGCUGUUUAUGAAUCACAUGAACUACAGGUUACCCUUUACUAGUUUGUUAAUUAAGGUGCAAGCUUGAAGGUCACUGCCACAUGACCACUACCCAAAUCGCGGCAGAGAACACUUAUGGUUCCCUCACAGCUCUUCCAAUCAGUGGCCCACGCUUUCAAGUAAGGACUGUCCUUGACUUCUAGCAUCAUUAGCUAAUUUGAUUUUUCUGGAAUUUCACAUAAACACAAUCAUAGUGUGCACUUUUUAGUGUCUAAUGUCUUUUGUUCAACAUUAUCUGUGAGAUUCAUCUAUGUUAUCUUGUCAUCACUGAAUGGUAUUCCAUUGUGGGCACAUACUGUAAUUUAUUUAUCUGCUCUCGGGUUGCUUUCGGGUUUUGACCAUUACGAAUAAAUCUUGAACACCUCUUUUGAA